rnacentral:rRNA from 1 species
GCUUUACUGUAGCUUGACAUUGGGUCUUGGUACUACAUGUACAGGAUAGGUGGGAGGCUUUGAAACCAGGACGCCAGUUUUGGCGGAGCCAUCCUUGGGAUACGACCCUUGUAGUACUGGGACUCUAACCAUAGGCCAUGAAUCUGGUCUUGGGACACUGUCAGGUGGGCAGUUUGACUGGGGCGGUCGCCUCCCAAAAGGUAACGGAGGCGCUCAAAGGUUCUCUCAGUA